rnacentral:rRNA from 1 species
UCGAAAGGGGUGCUAAUACCGAAUGAAUGUAAGAGUAUCGCAUGUGACACUUACUAAAGGAGGCCUCUGACAUAAGCUUCCGCUUGAAGAUGAGCUUGCGUCUGAUUAGCUAGUUGGUGAGGGUAAAGGCCCACCAAGGCGACGAUCAGUAGCCGGUCUGAGAGGAUGAACGGCCACAUUGGGACUGAGACACGGCCCAGACUCCUACGGGAGGCAGCAGUGGGGAAUCUUCCGCAAUGGGCGAAAGCCUGACGGAGCAACGCCGCGUGAACGAUGAAGGUCUUAGGAUCGUAAAGUUCUGUUGUUAGGGACGAAGGGUAAGAAUCAUAAUAAGGUUUUUAUUUGACGGUACCUAACGAGGAAGCCACGGCUAACUACGUGCCAGCAGCCGCGGUAAUACGUAGGCGGCAAGCGUUGUCCGGAAUUAUUGGGCGUAAAGGGAGCGCAGGCGGGAAACUAAGCGGAUCUUAAAAGUGCGGGGCUCAACCCCGUGAUGGGGUCCGAACUGGUUUUCUUGAGUGCAGGAGAGGAAAGCGGAAUUUCCAGUGUAGCGGUGAAAUGCGUAGAUAUUGGGAAGAACACCAGUGGCGAAGGCGGCUUUCUGGACUGUAACUGACGCUGAGG